CGUGUUAUUCCAGCUUGACUCAAGUCCUGCUUCUACCAGUCCUUUCCUUGCCCCCCUACCUAGAAGUGACCAUACACUUCUUGAAGGAGGAAGGAGGCAGAAUACUAAAGGAAGACGGCAAGUCUGGAUCCUCUGACCCGACUUAAAUACUGAUGCGCUCACGCAGGCUGGAGUGCUGGCAGUCUGUGCGGGGAGGGCGAGCAGAGGCAGAGUGCGGCGUGGAGGCUCUCCGCCUCAUCCGGGGGAGGGAGGCGGGUGAUCUGGGCCCGGGGCAUGACAGUAGAAAUGGUGAGUAAAAGUUAGAGUCUGUUACAUUUGAAGGCCAGUCCCAUGGCUCCGGCCACAUCAACCUCUCCCCCACUCGACAUCAUGGCUAAUGUAUCACUCUUCCUUCCAGAUUUCUCUUCUAAACCCCCGAAGGAAAAGAGAUGUUUUUCAGAAGAGUCCUAUAUUCUCCAGUAAGUAAUACUGGCAAGUCACAGGGUUCUUCCUAGCAACUU